rnacentral:rRNA from 1 species
UUGGCUUAAUUUGACUCAACGCGGGAAAUCUUACCGGGUCCGGACACACUGAGGAUUGACAGGCAAUCUUGCGAGUUGCUGAGAGUCGCACUUUCGGGUGCUUCUCCGAGCUCUCGCAUCUAAAUAUGCUAGUCCUUUCAUGAUUAUGUGAUAGGUGGUGCAUGGCCGUUCUUAGUUCGUGGAGUGAUCUGUCUGCUUAAUUGCGUUUCGCACUGGACUUGAUAAUCAAGUGUGCUAUUUUUCUUGUGCCUCGUACACGACUUGCGCGUUAUAAAGUCGGCGUGUGUACCCCGGCCGCUCGUGGCUUGGCUGCCGCUUGCUCGCGUUGCUUCGCUCUCCUCACGGAUUGCUGUCGCUUCGUAGCUUGCGUGCGCCUCGCAACGUUGGCUUGGUGUGUAUCGCGSCUUCGAGUGUUUUGUCAGUACUUGGUGCGUUUUGGAAGGAUAUGUGCACAUUAGGUCCUGAAAGCAACGAACGUGACCGCAUCCUCUUGUUGCCUUUUAUCUAAACCAGCAUUUUAUCGCUUUUGGUGUCCGCUUGUGAGUGUAUUCCGGUUCCGCAAGGUUCUGGUCCUCGCGCGCUCGCGGCUCCAUGUUAUAAGUGGUUUUUUGCGCGUUUUAACAAAAGAGGCUCUAUUCUUCUUACCAGGGAGAAAUAAAACUAGAGGGACCGCUGCGACUUUUUCAAACCAGAGGAAGGUUGCG